ACUCUUGAACUUUUAUGGCCUCUCUGAGUCUUUGUACUUAAUAAGUCAAAACUUUCAACAACGGAUCUCUUGGUUCUGGCAUCGAUGAAGAACGCAGCGAAAUGCGAUAAGUAAUGUGAAUUGCAGAAUUCAGUGAAUCAUCGAAUCUUUGAACGCACAUUGCGCCCGCCAGUAUUCUGGCGGGCAUGCCUGUUCGAGCGUCAUUUCAACCAUCAAGCCCCCGGCUUGUGUUGGGGACCUGCGGCUGCCGCAGGCCCUGAAAACCAGUGGCGGGCUCGCUAGUCACUCCGAGCGUAGUAAUACAUACAUCUCGCUCAGGGCGUGCUGCGGGUUCCGGCCGUUAAAAAGCCUUAUUUACCCAAGGUUGACCUCGGAUCAGGUAGGAAGACCCGCUGAACUUAAGCAUAU
rnacentral:rRNA from 1 species